CACAAGCGGUGGAGCAUGUGGUUUAAUUCGAUGAUACGCGAGGAACCUUACCUGGGCUCAAAUGUAUGUUGACGUAUUCUGAAAGGGAUACUUCUUCGGACAAUAUACAAGGUGCUGCAUGGUUGUCGUCAGCUCGUGCCGUGAGGUGUCGGGUUAAGUCCCAUAACGAGCGCAACCCCUAUCAUUAGUUGCCAUCAGGUCAAGCUGGGGACUCUAAUGAAACUGCCUACGCAAGUAGUGAGGAAGGUGGGGAUGACGUCAAAUCAGCACGGCCCUUACGUCCAGGGCUACACACGUGCUACAAUGGCCGGUACAAAGGGCAGCUACCUGGUGACAGGAUGCAAAUCUCCAAAGUCGGUCUCAGUUCGGAUCGGAGUCUGCAACCCGACUCCGUGAAGUUGGAUUCGCUAGUAAUCGCGCAUCAGCCAUGGCGCGGUGAAUACGUUCCCGGGCCUU
rnacentral:rRNA from 1 species